AUUGAACGCUGGCGGCAGGCCUAACACAUGCAAGUCGAACGAGUGGCGGACGGGUGAGUAAUGUCUGGGAAACUGUCUGAUGGAGGGGGAUAUCUACUGGAAGCGGUAGCUAAUCCCGCAUACCAUGAGAUGUCCCCAGAUGGGAUUAGCUAGUUGGUGGGGUAACGGCUCACCAAGGCGACGAUCCCUAGCUGGUCUGAGAGGAUGACCAGCCACACUGGAACUGAGACACGGUCCAGACUCCUACGGGAGGCAGCAGUGGGGAAUAUUGCACAAUGGGCGCAAGCCUGAUGCAGCCAUGCCGCGUGUAUGAAGAAGGCCUUCGGGUUGUAAAGUACUUUCAGCGGGGAGGCGUUACCCGCAGAAGAAGCACCGGCUAACUCCGUGCCAGCAGCCGCGGUAAUUC
rnacentral:rRNA from 1 species